rnacentral:rRNA from 1 species
AUACGGAGGGGGCUAGCGUUGUUCGGAAUUACUGGGCGUAAAGCGCGUGUAGGCGGAUCGUUAAGUCAGGGGUGAAAGCCCGGGGCUCAACCCCGGAACUGCCCUUGAUACUGGCGAUCUAGAGUCCGGAAGAGGUGGGCGGAAUUCCCGGUGUAGAGGUGAAAUUCGUAGAUAUCGGGAGGAACACCAGUGGCGAAGGCGGCUCACUGGUCCGGUUCUGACGCUGAGGCGCGAAAGCGUGGGGAGCAAACAGGAUUAGAAACCCUAGUAGUCC